CAUUCUUCCAUUUCACAACCAGAGGCUUUAAAAUCUGAACCCUCUGAAACUGCUCAGGAAAAUCAAUAUUCAUUUCCUUCAUCUUCGCAUGAGUUCACCUAUGAAAAUGCCCAACAACAGAACACCUAUGAAAAUGCCCAACAACAGAACACCUAUGAAAAUGCCCAACAACAGCACACCUAUGAAAAUGCCCAACAACCAGAUGUCACAUAUCCUCAUUCACAGACAAGCUCACAGAUCCAGAACUUAUCUCCCUUCUCCAGUGUAAUGGUAAUACAUCGGUUCGUUUGUUAUAUUUGGAUGUGCAAAAUAUAUUGAGAAAAAUGAUAUUUGUACAUCCAAUUUGGGACAACCCUCUCUCUCUCUCUCAUUGUGUUCUUAUCCUCUCUCUCUAUUGUUUUUGUCCCAAAAGAUGAGGGAAGAAGAUGGUUGUCCCAAAGGUUGUCACGAAAUGGUUGCACAAAUAUCAUUACUCGUCAUUGUUGGUGCUAUAUUACCCCGCCCAUUCUUCAGAGAGUAAAAAGAAGCCUAUCUCUGCAAAACGUCUUAAUAAUGGAAACAUGCUUAUUGUAAAAAUUACAAUUUUCAAGACUGUCGUAUUUUGCACCUUCAAUUAAUUAUAAUUAUUUCUGGAAUGAACUGAUUUGAGACUGUUAA
rnacentral:lncRNA from 1 species